rnacentral:misc_RNA from 1 species
AAGUCGUAACAAGGUUUCCGUAGGUGAACCUGCGGAAGGAUCAUUAACACGUAUCCAACGUUAAACAACCCUGUGAACUUUCAACCCCGCCGGAAUGAGAUUAAUUUCCAACUCCGGCGAAGACAAGUGACCUGGCACCUGACCUCAUCAAAGCUCUGACAGCGUGCCUCUGGAUGCUUAAUGGAAGGGUGACGCAGUAACGAUCGCUGGAGGCCCACACGGCCGGCGACCGGGUCAGCGGCAUUCUUUAAUGCCCCUUAACACCACUUAACAUGACGACACUAAUACAACUGUUAACAAUGGAUAUCUUUGGUUCUC